rnacentral:rRNA from 1 species
AUUGAACGCUGGCGGCAGGCCUAACACAUGCAAGUCGAGCGAGCGGCGGACGGGUGAGUAAUGUCUGGGAAACUGCCUGAUGGAGGGGGAUAACUACUGGAAACGGUAGCUAAUACCGCAUACCAUCGGAUGUGCCCAGAUGGGAUUAGCUUGUAGGUGAGGUAACGGCUCACCUAGGCGACGAUCCCUAGCUGGGCUGAGAGGAUGACCAGACACAAUGGAACUGAGAACAGGGCCAGAAUCUUACGGGAGGAAGCAGGGGGGAAUAUUGCACAAUGGGCGCAAGCCUGAUGCAGCCAUGCAGCGUGUAUGAAGAAGGCCUUCGGGUUGUAAAGUACUUUCAGCGGGGAGGCGUUACCCGCAGAAGAAGCACCGGCUAACUCCGUGCCAGAAGCCGCGGUAAUAC